rnacentral:lncRNA from 1 species
UUUUUUUUUUUUUUUUUUUUUUUUUUUUGUCUUUUGUCUUUUUGUCUUUUUGUUGUUGCUAUUUCUUGGGCCGCUCCCGCGGCAUAUGGAGGUUCCCAGGCUAGGGGUCGAAUCGGAGCUGUAGCCACCGGCCUACGCCAGAGCCACAGCAACGCGGGAUCCGAGCCGCGUCUGCAACCUACACCACAGCUCACGGCAACGCCGGAUCGUUAACCCACUGAGCAAGGGCAGGGAUCGAACCCGCAAAGAGGUGCAUAUUAAAGUGAUGAUUUCAGUGAGCCCAGGUCCCUUUGGUUCCAGCUACCUGCUCUUUGUUGCAAAAACUCCUAUAUAUCCUCGCUCCUCCCUUGCCUCCUCGGAGCGGUUUCUUUGGGGCUACCUGAGAUGCUGUCUCCCAGGCUUAAGUCAUAAUUUUGCCCCAAAUAAAACUUAACUUUCAGGUUGUGCAUUUUCUAAGUCAACGACCUUGUGCCCACCCAUUUAGGAAUGCAGAGAGAGAACUAUCCCUUCCCACUGUUUUAAGUACGCAGUAGUUGCUUGAUUCAAAAAAAGAAAAAAAAAAGUUUUACAGAAAAUUAUAAAGAAAAUAUGGGAAAUGGCAUCCCAUACUUUUAUUACCCAAACAUAGUCUCCUUUAUGUUUUUCUAAUGUCCUAGUUUAUGGGUAUUUUUUUUAAUCAUAGUUGUGAUUACAUUUCCUUCUAAUAUUCUACAUAAGCACUUCUCUGUUGUACAACAAGCCUCACAAAUAUGCAUUAGGUGCAUAAUAUUUCAUCCAAUAAAAUGUUCUAUUAACUAUCUCCUAUUUCUAAAUAUUUAGCAAACCUCAAUUCUUGUGUCAUCUCAUCAACGUUAUCCAUGUUCUUUCCAAAACACGAACGGCUGGGCAGGAAUUGUCAGCCACGAGACCUUAAGGGCUAGCUCAUUCACCAGUAGCCAAGAAGGACGUUUGUAACGAUGAACUACUGGAACAUCCUGAAUUUCCUGUGCUGGAGCAUGAAGAGUGAGGAGGCAAAAAUGGCAGGGCAAGAGGGCACCUUCUAAAAAGACAAAUAUAACUUCAAAUAAUAUAGACAAAUCAUGAAACCUUCAUUCAGCAGUCACUACAUUACAUGCCAACAGUACAUACAAACGUCUCGACAAAGGGCAAAGAUAAUCUAUAAAUAAACAGGGAAUACUAGCAGCACUGCGGAGGUGGGGAUUAACCCUGCCUGGAAGGGCUCCACAGAGGUGGAGCAGCUUGCUUAGGUCUUGACCAAUAAGGAGGAGUUCACUGGCUAGACAAAGGAGAAAACGAAUGUAGGUAAGAAAAUAGUAUGUGCAGAAUUCCAGGUCCUAAAACAGCAAGGUGUGUUCAAGGACCCCCAAGCAGGGCUCUGUGUCUGCAGUGCAGUAAGAGAGGCUGAGGUCAGCCUCGGAAGAUUGGCUGGGGUCAGGUCCUGCCAAACCCUGAUGCCAUGUGUUGUACAAUAAUUUUCCCCAUCCUUGUCCCUGGUUCUCAGACGAAACCCUAAAUCCUCGGAGUUUCCUGAGUGAUCCUUUGUUAUUCAUGGUGGCCCCUGACCUCACCUGAGUUUUUGCUGAUGAAUGAUGUAGGCUGUGGACCAGCCAUCCUGGAAAGAUCAACCCUGAGACUUGGGGCUUUGAGCCAGAUAAUCUCGAGGGGGUAGAAGGAGGCUAGAAUUUGAGUUCCAUCCCAUGACCAAUAAUUCAAGCAUGUCUACAUAAUGGAAUGUCAAUAAAAUGCAAGACACGAUUUUGCUGGUUGAUGAAUAUAUCGAUGUGCAGGGAGGGUGGUGCAUCCUGAUUGCACCAGAAAAGGGCACAGAAGUUCUACAUUCAGGAUGGUCCCCAACCUGCCCAGGGUGUCUCUUCAUUUGGCUGGUCCUGAUUUGCAUCCUUUAUAACAAAACUAUAGUUUUAAGUGUAGCACUUUCCAGAGAGUUUUGUGAGUUGUUUUAGGUAGUUGAGGGAAUCCUUGAAUUUGCAGCGAGUUGGUCAGAAGUGCAGGCAGCCUGGGUUCCCCCCCGCCCCCGCCCUGAACUUGUGGCUGGCAUCUGAAGUGAAAACCGCUCAUCAAGGACAGUGCCCUCAACCUGUACCUCUGUGCAAACUCCAAGUGAUCUGCAUAGGAAUCACACUACAGGAUUGCACCCUGCUAAGAAAUUUGGACUUUAUUUUGAAUAAUUUUAAGUAAAAAGAUAUCAAAUAUUUGUGUCUUAGAAAAAUCACGCUGUGCAGUAUGAAGAACGGAUUAGACAGGGAAGAAUAUGAAGCAGGAAGCUUAUGGAUGGCUGGGAAUCAGGCAGGAGCAAUAAACUAGGCCAACAUACCACAGCCAGGAAUGAGGAUGAAUUACCAAAAAUCUCUGUGAAAGAGGUGUGGGAGGCAGCAAAGAGCACCAUCCCCAGGGGUUGGCUCUGCAAGGAUGUGCCCACCUGUUAUGGGAAGACGACAGCGGUUUAUUGGAAAUAUCACUUUUGAUUAUCGCAAGUUAAAGACUUGGAUCUUUUUUAAAAAGAAGAGGAUCGCUUCUUUUGAUUAUCGCAAGUUAAAGACUUGGAUCUUUUUUAAAAAGAAGAGGAGAUCCUGUUGUGGUGCAUUGGAAACAAAUCCGACUAGUAUCCUUGAGGAUGCAGGUUCGUUUCUGCUGAGCCAGUAUACUUGAUUUACCACCUGAUUGGCUUAUUCACUAAUUCAGUCCCUAUAGAGUGACAAAGCUUUCCUUUUUGUGAAAAAGCAUCCUAAUUUGCUUAUUUUGUGUUAGUUUUUGUAUUUAAAGAAUCAGAAUUCAAGGCAGGUCCCUCAAAUUCGAAGACCUCAGCAAUGAAAUGUCACCUGCUGAUGGUCAUUCAGACUAAGCAACAUCGUUCCCAGUGUAGCUCUCCCACCUGCAUCAUUAGUGAUGGUUAUGUGGUAGACAGACCCUCCAUAAUGCAGCUUGAUUUGCCCAAGUAUAAGAAAUGGAUCUUUCUCUGUUAGACAGAAAGGUGGCAUCGAGGAUGGAAAUUCAUCCCCUGAUUUUUUGCCAUCCUUCGAUGUUCAGCUAACUCAUUCAUCAGAACAAGUUAAAGCAUAAUGUCUCUCAACCUCUCUUGGGAUUAUCAAGGAGCAGAUUGCAACCUUUCACAAUCCUUCAGCAUUUGGGGUGUGUAAUCUUUGGGGGAUUCCACAGAAUGUGCUGAUAAUGGUUUCCUUCUUGACAUUCAAGUUAUGAAUCUUUAAUACUUAAAAAUACAUAGUGCUAAAGAUUCACUACUGAAUCUUUAACACUUAAAAAAUACAUAUUGCUUAAUUUGUUCAUGAAUCUGUGGUUUAAUAAAUGCCAGCAUAUAUAUUACAUUAUGUUAACGUUUAAUAUCUCGUUUGAGCAGUCAGACGUGCAUUAAAAAUUAAAGUAAAAUGAAUUCCCACUUUCCCAUUCUUAGAUUGUAGGUAAUAUUAUUUUACACUGUGCUAUAGUGUUCUACAAAAUUGACGUUCAGUGUUUUGAGUUAAUGUACUUUGUGAUUUAUUUACUGCCUGGGGUGUUACUCAUUGCUUUUGCAAUUACUGUAAAACUUUAUACAUCACAGCACGAGACCCUAAGCAAUCAGAUGAGUGGUACUGGGGGAGUUUUUCUUUUAAAUGGGAUCAUGUAAUAAAGACAGAAGACUAAAUUAGCAUCUCUAAUAUGCCAGCC